rnacentral:rRNA from 1 species
UUUAUGGAGAGUUUGAUCCUGGCUCAGAGUGAACGCUGGCGGCGUGCCUAACACAUGCAAGUCGUGCGAAAUUUUACAGAGUAUCGUAAAGUUUAGCGGCAAACGGGUGAGUAACACGUAGGGAACCUUCCUCAAAAUGGGGAAUAUCCCCGAGAAAUCGGGGUCAAUACCGCAUAGUACCACAACUUGGCAUCAAGCUGUGGUUAAAGCAGUAAUGCGUUUUGAGAUGGUCCUGCGGCCUAUCAGCUAGUUGGUGGGGUAAAGGCCUACCAAGGCUAUGACGGGUAUCCGGCCUGAAAGGGUGAACGGACACACUGGAACUGAGACACGGUCCAGACUCCUACGGGAGGCAGCAGUGGGGAAUUUUGGACAAUG